GACGAACGCUGGCGGCGUGCUUAACACAUGCAAGUCGAGCGAUGAAGCUCCUUCGGGAGUGGAUUAGCGGCGGACGGGUGAGUAACACGUGGGUAACCUGCCUCAUAGAGGGGAAUAGCCUUUCGAAAGGAAGAUUAAUACCGCAUAAGAUUGUAGUAUCGCAUGAUACAGCAAUUAAAGGAGUAAUCCGCUAUGAGAUGGACCCGCGUCGCAUUAGCUAGUUGGUGAGGUAACGGCUCACCAAGGCGACGAUGCGUAGCCGACCUGAGAGGGUGAUCGGCCACAUUGGGACUGAGACACGGCCCAGACUCCUACGGGAGGCAGCAGUGGGGAAUAUUGCACAAUGGGGGAAACCCUGAUGCAGCAACGCCGCGUGAGUGAUGACGGUCUUCGGAUUGUAAAGCUCUGUCUUCAGGGACGAUAAUGACGGUACCUGAGGAGGAAGCCACGGCUAACUACGUGCCAGCCGCCGCUGUAA
rnacentral:rRNA from 1 species